rnacentral:lncRNA from 11 species
GUAUUUUCUCUUUCCAAAUCAGAAUGACGUCCUAGAGAUGAAAAGGCAGCUAACCCUGACCGAUGGGCAGUUGAAAAAGUCCGAAGUUUCCCGGAAACGCCUGGAAAUCCUUAACAGGAAGCUGCUCCUAUUUGUCCAGAAUGCCCGGAAGCUAUUAAGUCCCUCCUGCACAUUACCAGAGGAGAAGAGAGCCAACAUUCAGGAUGAUGAGGACAAAACAAGGAAGCCCUUGGAAGCGACCCUUCCGUCUUCAGAUCUUGUGGGCGUCUUGAUAGCCGAGGCGAAUGAACUGUUGGAACCCGUGUCCGUGUCCAACGCUGCCAAGGACGCUUUAUUGCACGCCUGGGAUGAUUGCCCAGCUGGGAAUGCAACUCCAGACUACAAAGACCAUCUGCAUCAGAAGACAACGUGGCCGCCACCGCCGCCGCCUCCUCCUCCUCCUCCUCCUCCUCCUCCUCCUCCUCCAAGUGAGAACAGCGAGCAGAAUCUACAAACCCAAAGCCCUUCUUCCAAGGAUCCUUCUGACAAGCCGGCAUAAACCUCUCAGCCGCAAGAGGCUCCAGGUCCCGACCGUGACUUUUUUCCAAACCCAGAUUUGGAGGCCGAAGCACAAAGACUCGGUUCUAAGGAGAAGACACAUCUCCCAGUGCUUUUCCCAUUUCUUUUCGGAAGACUGAAGUUCCCGAUCCAUUCAUAAACUCAGCAACGAGCGCAUCCUCGGGGAUGGAUGCCUCUGGAUCGCUUCAUACAAACAAGCCUGUUUCCCUCAUUCUGCAGCUUUGGAAAGAAAACAAUCAAGGAAAAUAUGGCUGCAAGACUUGAACCUACAGCUGAAUGGAAAACCCAGCGUCCUUUGCAUUUCCUUUGAAAAACCAAAGUACUUUUUUUCUGGCUGUAGGUGAAGUAGCUCAGUUUUUAGUAGUUCUGCAUAGCUGUCUAUGGAUGCAUCACGGCCUCAGUUGGGUCGACUCUCAAUGCUGCCAAGGCUUCUUUGAGUGACUUGAUAUUUGGGUUGUGGAUGUACCGAAGAUGGAUCCUUCCCAUGCUGGACUGAGUCUGAUGAGGACUUUCCAGACAAACUGUCUUGUGUUUAAAACAUGGGGAAGGUGGAAAUAAUAUUCCUUAGGCAUUGGUUUUUCUGUAGCUAGCAAAUACCAUGGUAAGAAAUCGGAUGUGAGCACAACAUUUUUGGCAAAUAAAAGUGAAAACCUUG